AGUCAAAAAUAUAUCUAUAUAUGUCUGUGCAGCAUACAUUAUUAUGGUUUUCUAUAUUAUGAUAAUAAAGUGUGAUUUUUUUUCACACCUAUAAAGAAUGUGUCUUCUUUUUUUUUUCAUUUUUAAAAGCACACUGAGCAACAUGUUUCAGUUAAUUAAUGCAUUUCAUACUGUUUUAGAUAAAUAAAUUAAUCAUUACAGAGAGAAUAAAGGUUUUCUCAACCACCCUCGUGGUCCCAUGGGCUCACAAGUUCCUGGCAGCGCCAGAGUCGGCCCGUUUCUCAUUAUAGAUUAAGCAAGUUUGGACUCUUGUACUUUGUCAGAACGAACUUGGUAAGUUCGGCUCACGAGUGCAUACUCCAGAGAACAGGACUUUUAUUUUGUAAUUGGAACUGCUGUGAUCAGUAGAGUAGUAGGUGCAUCCUUAGAUGCAUUUCCACAAACAUACCCUACACCCGCCUCACAGGGCAGACAAACCGUCUUUGUUUGGUCCAUCGCUCACCAGCCUUGCUGUAGUUCACAGGGAACCCACAAUAUUCCCACACUUAAUCAGAGUUUCUGUAAUCAGGAUUAAAACUAGUUUUAUAUACUCUGUAAAAGCAUGAGAAACACAAAAAAGUUGUUUGUAUGUGUAGUUAAAAGAAACUGUGACUUAUCUUCAUGGUGGAUGUUAUGUGUUUGGAUCUGCUGUCUGCAGGUGCAGCUUUAAUGCUGUAUUUUGUGUGUUUACUCUCUCUGAAGUUUGUCUCCAGAAGGUAGCUGACUUUGUACCUUCCUUUGCCCAUAGACACACACACAGACACAGACACAAGGAGGGGGAGCUGUGUUAAUUAGUGCUGACGCUUUUUAAAAAUAUGGCGAAAUGAAAAAAAAAGCUUCUUCUGAUUUGUCACUGAAAAUGUUUGAUAAUUUCCUCUCCUCUUUCUAAUAAGGUCAUAGUGAGUGUGAUUGGCGGCUGUGGGGAAUCUCUCUCUCUCUCUCUCUCUCUCUGUCUCUCAGGUUCUUGAGUCUUAUCUGGCUGAGUAGAGGUAAAGCUUGUUCUGCUGCUGAGUUGAGCAGUGUGUGUGCAAGAGAUGGACAUCCGAGUUCUACUCAUUUUUCUAUUGACCACUGUCACUCUCGUCACAUCUGACAGUGUGAGGUUGGUGGGAGCCGCUGUGCUGGGAGAGUGGAAGUUCUUCAUAGAGGACAUUGGGGAACAGUGUGUGAUGAUUACUGGGAUAUGAGAGAUGCUGCAGUGGUGUGUAGAGAGCUGGGCUGUGGGGAAGCCAUAGAUGCACCACGGAGAGCUCGCUUUGGAUCAGGAUCAGGACCGAUCUGGGUGGAAUAUGCUAACUGUGCUGGAUCAGAGUCUUCACUGAAGAACUGUAGGUCGUAUGAUUGGGGUAGACAGAGAUGUAAUCAUGAUGAAGACGCUGGUGCUGUUUGUGCAGAAGUCAGAUUGGUGGGCAGAUCUCGCUGCUCUGGGAGAGUGGAGGUUCUUCAUGGAGAGAGCUGGGUCACAGUGUGUGAUGCUGACUUUAACCAGCAGGAUGCAGAGGUUGUGUGUUGAGAGCUGGGCUGUGGUUCUCUUGUGGAGGUUCUGGGAGCAGCUGCUUUUGGUAGAGGGGGAGGGUCAGGUGUGG